GGCUCGGUAGCUUAGCCGGUAAAUCACUUGUCUAGUGUAUAAGAGUCGUGAGUUCGAAACCCACCCUCCCCU
rnacentral:tRNA from 1 species